rnacentral:rRNA from 1 species
GACGAACGCUGGCGGCGUGCUUAAUACAUGCAAGUAGAACGCAGAGGGAGGAGCUUGCUUCUCUGGAGGAGUUGCGAACGGGUGAGUAACGCGUGGGUAACCUGCCCGUUAGUGGGGGAUAACUUUUGGAAACGAUAGCUAAUACCGCAUAAGAGCAGAUGGUGCAUGACAUUUGUUUAAAAGGUGCAAUUGCAGCACUACCAGAUGGACCUGCGUUGUAUUAGCAUGUUGUUGGGGUAUCGCCUGACCAAGGCGAGGAUGCAUAGCCGACCUGAGAGGGGGAGCGGCCGCACUGGGACUGGGACACGGCCCAGAGUGCUGCGGGAGGGAGCCGUACGGCAACUUCAGGAAUGGACGGAGGUCUGACCAAGCAACGCCGGGGGAGUGACGAAGGUUGCCGGGUCGUGGAGCUCUGUUGUUAGAGAAGAACGAGUGUGAGAGUGGGAAGUUCACACAGUGACGGUAUCUGACCAGGAAGCGACGGCUAACUACGUG